GUCCACAACCAGGUCCACAUUUAGGUCUACAUUUAGGUCCACAUCCAGGUCCACAACCAGGUCUACAUCUAGGUCCACAACCAGGUCCACAUUUAGGUCUACAUUUAGGUCCACAUCCAGGUCCACAACCAGGGCUACAUCUAGGUCCACAACCAGGUCCACAUUUAGGUCUACAUCUAGGUCCACAACCAGGUCCACAACCAGGUCCACAACCAGGUCCACAUCUAGGUCCACAACCAAGUCCACAUCUAGGUCCACAUCCAGGUUCACAUCCAGGUUCACAUCUAGGUCCACGUCUAGGUCCACAACCAGGUCCACAUCUAUGUCCACAACCAAGUCCACAUCUAGGUCCACAUCUAGGUCCA